GGGGAUUUAGCUCAGUGGUUCAGCCGCCUGCCUCACAAGCAGAAGGUCCUGAGUUCGAUCCCCGGUAUCCUCC
rfam:Fukomys damarensis contig92545, whole genome shotgun sequence.